rnacentral:rRNA from 1 species
GACGAACGCUGGCGGCGUGCUUAACACAUGCAAGUCGAACGGAAAGGCCCUGCUUUUGUGGGGUGCUCGAGUGGCGAACGGGUGAGUAACACGUGAGUAGCCUGCCCUUGACUUUGGGAUAACUUCAGGAAACUGGGGCUAAUACCGGAUAGGAGCUCCUGCUGCAUGGUGGGGGUUGGAAAGUUUCGGCGGUUGGGGAUGGACUCGCGGCUUAUCAGCUUGUUGGUGGGGUAGUGGCUUACCAAGGCUUUGACGGGUAGCCGGCCUGAGAGGGUGACCGGCCACAUUGGGACUGAGAUACGGCCCAGACUCCUACGGGAGGCAGCAGUGGGGAAUAUUGCACAAUGGGCGGAAGCCUGAUGCAGCAACGCCGCGUGCGGGAUGACGGCCUUCGGGUUGUAAACCGCUUUCGCCUGUGACGAAGCGUGAGUGACGGUAAUGGGUAAAGAAGCACCGGCUAACUACGUGCCAGCAGCCGCGGUGAUACGUAGGGUGCGAGCGUUGUCCGGAUUUAUUGGGCGUAAAGGGCUCGUAGGUGGUUGAUCGCGUCGGAAGUGUAAUCUUGGGGCUUAACCCUGAGCGUGCUUUCGAUACGGGUUGACUUGAGGAAGGUAGGGGAGAAUGGAAUUCCUGGUGGAGCGGUGGAAUGCGCAGAUAUCAGGAGGAACACCAGUGGCGAAGGCGGUUCUCUGGGCCUUUCCUGACGCUGAGGAGCGAAAGCGUGGGGAGCGAACAGGCUUAGAUACCCUGGUAGUCCACGCUGUAAACGGUGGGUACUAGGUGUGGGGUCCAUUCCACGGGUUCCGUGCCGUAGCUAACGCUUUAAGUACCCCGCCUGGGGAGUACGGCCGCAAGGCUAAAACUCAAAGGAAUUGACGGGGCCCCGCACAAGCGGCGGAGCAUGCGGAUUAAUUCGAUGCAACGCGUAGAACCUUACCUGGGUUUGACAUGGAUCGGGAGUGCUCAGAGAUGGGUGUGCCUCUUUUGGGGUCGGUUCACAGGUGGUGCAUGGCUGUCGUCAGCUCAUGUCGUGAGAUGUUGGGUUAAGUCCCGCAACGAGCGCAACCCUUGUUCACUGUUGCCAGCACGUUAUGGUGGGGACUCAGUGGAGACCGCCGGGGUCAACUCGGAGGAAGGUGGGGAUGACGUCAAGUCAUCAUGCCCCUUAUGUCCAGGGCUUCACGCAUGCUACAAUGGCUGGUACAGAGAGUGGCGAGCCUGUGAGGGUGAGCGAAUCUCGGAAAGCCGGUCUCAGUUCGGAUUGGGGUCUGCAACUCGACCUCAUGAAGUCGGAGUCGCUAGUAAUCGCAGAUCAGCAACGCUGCGGUGAAUACGUUCCCGGGGCU